AUUGAACGCUGGCGGCAUGCCUUACACAUGCAAGUCGAACGGCAGCACGGGUGCUUGCACCUGGUGGCGAGUGGCGAACGGGUGAGUAAUACAUCGGAACAUGUCCUGUAGUGGGGGAUAGCCCGGCGAAAGCCGGAUUAAUACCGCAUACGAUCUACGGAUGAAAGCGGGGGACCGUCGGGCCUCGCGCUAUAGGGUUGGCCGAUGGCUGAUUAGCUAGUUGGUGGGGUAAAGGCCUACCAAGGCGACGAUCAGUAGCUGGUCUGAGAGGACGACCAGCCACACUGGGACUGAGACACGGCCCAGACUCCUACGGGAGGCAGCAGUGGGGAAUUUUGGACAAUGGGCGAAAGCCUGAUCCAGCAAUGCCGGGUGUGUGAAGAAGGCCUUCGGGUUGUAAAGCACUUUUGUCCGGAAAGAAAUCCUUGGCCCUAAUACGGUCGGGGGAUGACGGUACCGGAAGAAUAAGCACCGGCUAACUACGUG
rnacentral:rRNA from 1 species